AUUGAACGCUGGCGGCAUGCUUUACACAUGCAAGUCGAACGGCAGCGCGGGCUUCGGCCUGGCGGCGAGUGGCGAACGGGUGAGUAAUGCAUCGGCACCUGCCCACUAGUGGGUGAUCGCCCGGCGCAAGCCGGAUUAAUACCGCAUACGACCUGAGGGUGAAAGCGGGGGACCGAAAGGCCUCGCGCUAUUGUAGCGGCCGAUGUCGGAUUCGCUGGUUGGUGGGGUAAAGGCUUACCAAGGCGGCGAUCCGUAGCUGGUCUGAGAGGAUGAGCAGCCACACGGGGACUGAGGCACGGCCCAGCCGCCUACGGGAGGCAGCGGGGGGGAAUUGGGGACAAUGGGGGAAAGCCUGAUACAGCCAUGCCGCGUGGGGGAAGAAGGCCUUCGGGUUGUAAACCGGUUUUGUUCGGGAAGAAAUCCUCUGGGCUAGGACCCCGGGGGGAUGACGGUACCGGAAGAAGAAGCACCGGCUAACUACGUG
rnacentral:rRNA from 1 species